UUUUUACACAGGCAUUUAUUGCGCUGUAUACGUGGGUAGCUGAAUUAACGUUUAAGCGGCGUGUUCCGUCGCCAGCCUCACGGUUAGGAAGGCCGCGUUUAGCGGCUUUUCCUAUAGUUAG
rnacentral:sRNA from 14 species